UCUUUGAGGUGUGGUUAUUCAUUCUUAUUAGAGGUAUGGACUGAAAAUAUGAUAUCAUCGUUCCCAAUCAAAACUGUGAAGUUCAACCGAUUUUUCUGCCAUGCAGCCAACCUCCUCAACUCAGACUUGCUUGUGGCUAUGCCCACACAUGCCUUGAUUAGGUCAAUCAGAUUAAUUGUAAAUGUCACCACAUGUUUUUAUGAAUACCUCACAAAUGUCAGUAGUGCUUCAUUUGAUGCAACAUGCAUCCUGACACUUUCAUUUAAUUGUCAAGCACUUAAAUUAUUAUAAUUAAAAUCACAACAUGUAUAUGAUUACAUACAACUAACUGAGGGGCCCAAAGACAAAUAUCAAAAGCCCAAAUUUGGGGUACAUGCUCAUAUAUUUUCAGCAUAAAUGAAUAAAUCAAGGCAGUAUACAGCAUUCUCAUCAACAACUCCACUGGUCCUAUGGCCGCUGAUUGAGAGGAUGACUAGGACCAAAGACACACACACAGGCUCUAACAAACUGCACAGCACUGACAAGAAGGGGAUGCAAACAGACAGGUACCUUUCGGGCUCCAAGGUGUGUCAUCCCAGUUUUUCUUCCGCUUCAUCUUAGCCUUGUUAGCAUGGUCCUCCUCAUCAGACUCCAAGGACGGGUUCCCAGAGUCUCUUGUUCAUCUGGACUCUCUUCAUCACUGAGGUGACGGGCUGGCCGCUUAAUUGGCCGUUUUCCAGGCCGCUGGAUGAC